UUAGGAAUUUUGCGCAAUGGACGAAAGUCUGACGCAGCAACGCCGCGUGAGUGAAGAAGGCCUUCGGGUUGUAAAGCUCUUUUAGCAGGGGCGAAAAAAAUGACGGUACCUGCAGAAAAAGCACCGGCUAACCCUGUGCCAGCAGCCGCGGUAAUACAGGGGGUGCAAGCGUUAUUCGGAAUUAUUGGGCGUAAAGAGCGCGUAGGCGGUUUGGUAAGUUUGGUGUGAAAUCCCUGGACUCAAUCCAGGAAGUGCAUUGAAUACUGCUAAACUAGAGUACUGGAGAGGAGAGUGGAAUUCCUGGUGUAGAGGUGAAAUUCGUAGAUAUCAGGAGGAACAACAGAAGCGAAGGCGGCUCUCUGGACAGUUACUGACGCUGAGGCGCGAAAGCGUGGGGAGCAAACAGG
rnacentral:rRNA from 1 species